AGCAACCUUCAUCCAAACCCUGUUUCUUAAGCAAAGGUUGAACAGUAGCAUGCUUAAAAUAAUUUGGGAACAGAGAAACAGGAAGCACUGUUGUUUAUGGUGGUUGCAUUGACAUUUCUUUUUUCUGCCAUGUUACUUCAUUACUGUAGGCAUAAACUACUUAAUUAUUGUAUGAAUGGUUUUCAAGUACUUCAUGCUUUUUUUUUUUUUUACAUUUAAUUUGAAUACUUUUAAGGUGAUUGUUUUGAAUAUGGUAGCUUUUCUUGCAAGAUGAAUAAAAUUCCUAACAAUUUUAAUCAGUGAACAAGGAAACAACAAACAAAAACUUCCUAACAAUUUUAAUCAGUGAACAAGGAAACAACAAACAGAUAACAAGCAUAGUCAUACACUACACCAUGAAGGAGGGGGAAACAUAAAAACCUGUGAGCUAAUAUUUAUUGCUGCAAACAGGGCUGCUAGAUUUUUAGCAUGCAAGCUAGGUAAUGUUUACUUAUGUUCUUGGUUCCUUGUUGGCAAAAGGAGCAAUUACGGUUAAUAACCAAAAUCAGUGUGUGUGGUCAAUACUUUUCUCAUUUGUGACUCUUUCUUGCACUUUUAAUUCCAUACUUUAAUUAAAUGUCAAUUUAAAAUGGUGGAACAUUGCACUUUAAGUAUUAUGCUCAGUCCAAUGCUGCACAACAACGUUUUUGCACACUGUUCUAACCUGCGUAUGAGUGUAGCUGCUUAUAUUCUGUCUCAUUUUACAUAUACAUCUAUAUUUAUUAUAUAUAUUGAUAUAUUCUCUACAGUUUUUAUAUAUUUGCAGUUGUUCAUUCCUAUUCUUCAAUAUUAUUUAUUCUUAUUAUUAGUAGUAGUAUUUAUUUAUUUAUUCGUAAUUUAUUUUUUAUGUAUUUUUUGUAUUUAUUUAAAUACUCAUCUGCUGCUAUGCUGUUUUGUAUACUUUUAUUUUAUCUUAAACGACAAACUUCUGGUUUGAAAAUAACUUGCCUGAAAAUCAUAAUUGUGUUUAGGUACGUCUUUAUAUUCUUUCUUCUAUAAGUUUAUGGCGGAUGAUGCAUCCAUCCAUUUUCUAUACCGCUUAUCCUACAGGGUUCCGAGGAACCUGGAUCCAUUCCCAGGGAGAAUCAGCCACAAGGCAGGGUACACCCUGGAUGGGGUGCGAAUCCAUCACAGGACAUAAUCACAUAAGAUAAACCUAUUCAUACAUGUCAUUGGACUGGGGAGGAAACCCCCGCAGCACGGAGAGUGAGUACACACACACACACACACACACACGGGAAUCGAACCCAGGAAGUGUAAAAUGAAUGAGCUAAUGUGCUAAUUCUAUGGAUGAUGAUGAUCAAAGAUUGAAUGUGCAUACCGCCACCUACUGGACUACUGUGGGAAAUAAGUGGAAAAUUUGAAUAGUUGGACGGAGCUAACCUGUAGCGCUCAAUCACAAAUGCCUAAUUGAUUACUAAUUGAUUUCACGGGUGUGGUGUGAUUGGUCCGUCAUGUCGGCUGACGCAAUAUAUACGCUGCCCGAAGCUUGGACUAAGGCAUUGCGGGGAAUUGAGUAUGGCAGGUAACAUGGCUGAAAACACCGCAGGUCUUUAUGCUGGAGAUGCUGUGGGCUUUGCAGGUUGGUCUCUUUAAGUGUGAGCGAGCGCAUGCAAACUUCUAACACAAACAAACCGAUUAUCUUCUGGUGCUUCUCCGUUUCUUUAGAGCAGGAAAACGCAGGUACGACUGGUCUUUUGCGGCCGAAGUUUCAGUGGGACAACAAACCCUGUCUCAAAAUAGCUGCUGUCCGCCCUUUACCGAGAAGUAGCAGCUCUGAAAUGAGUACAGUCAGAAUCGGCCGCAGUCUCCUGCUCAAACGUCUUCGUUCUCACCCGCAAGAACAAGCCCAAGCAUGUCCUCAUCACCCAUCAGGUCAGAGCUCAAUUUUUUUUUUUUUUUUUUUUUUUUUUUUUAAAUAAAUAAUUGAUUUGGCUCUGAAUUGUUCUGUUUAUGGUCCAAAAAAGUAGUAUAGCUCUUACAGAAUACAAAGGCUUGGGCUGAACUUUGCUGUUUUAAAUUGCAACUUGAAAUGUAUGCUCUCCAUCCACUAUAUUAGGAACACCUAAUAAAUACACUUAUGCAGUUAUCUAAUCAGCUAGCCAUGUGGCAGCAACAGUCAGCAUGUUUACAUGGACAAUAAUCCACUAUUAAUCAAUUAUGAAACUACCAUGUAAACAGCAAUCUUUAAUUACCUUAAUCUGAUUAAGAUCAUACUUGAAGUAAACACAAAUUGAAUUAUGGCAUGUGGAGUACUCCUGUUUUAGUCACCUUAUCAAUGUGUAUUACAGACAUGUAAACAUGUUAAUCACAUUAACAUUGUGAGUUUUCACCGCAUUUUGUGACAGGACACAUACACAUGGCAGUGCAAAACAUUUUACAGAACAAGAGUAUGGCUGUGUCCCAAACUGCAUACUUGCCUACUCUGCUACUAUAUAGACGGUAAUUACGUGGUUUGGGAUGUAGCCCACGGCUUCAAGCAGUUGUCUAUUGUCAUGUACAGCAUGACAAAAAAUAACUGCACUUAAAGCAUUCAUAAAAACACCCAAAAACUAUAUACGGUACCAUAACGGAGACAAACUGCAUGUUGAUGUGUGAAAUUCUGGGGGGACGGUGUGGUGCGUUGACACUUUGUGUGCCGUUAAUCUAAUUAUGUUCUAUAACAUGUAAAACAGAUUCAUGAAGGGAGUCUUCUAAAAGCAACUCAUGUAAACGCCUUAAUCACGUUAUCUUACUCAGAGUAAGGUCAAUAGAUUACUGCUGUCCAUGUAAACGUAGUCAAUGCAUACACAUUCAGGUACAGGACAGAGCUUCUGUUAAUGUUCUCAAACAUUAGAAAUGUGAUCCCUGACUGUGGUUGUGGCAUGGUUAUUUGUACCAGAGGGGCUGGUUUGAUUUUCAGAAACUGCUGAUCUGGGAUUUACACACAACAGUUUGUAAAGUUUACACAAUGUGGGGGUGAAAUAAUAAAAAUGUCUUGUGAGAGGAUGAUCAGUGGGUUUCAGGUCAGGGCUCUAUGCAGUCCACUAGAGUUCUUGCACACCAGGAGCAUUGUCAUGCUUGAACAGGUUUGGACUAGCCCCUUUGGUUGCAGUGAAAGGAAGUCUUCAUUACACAGCAUACAAAGUUAAUAAUAAUAAUAAUAAUAAUAAUAAUAAUAAUAUUAUUGACUGUAUUCUAGACCUUUCUGUGCUUUAAAACUUGGUGGCAACAGUUUGGGAAAGACUUGUAUGGGUGUGAUUGUCAGGUGUUAACAAUUCUUAUGUAGUAAGGGUAUAUUCAAAAACCUUGUUUUAUUAGGGAGGAUAACUGGAAUGUAUUUUGUAAUGUUACAAAGUAGACUGUCAACCUAGUCUUGUUACAAAGCAAAUGCUUACAACUGGAGGGGAAACCGCCAACACUUCAAAAGCAUGUACUUUAGUUAUUGAUCACUUGCAGCUUUCUGUUGUAUUACAUGCCUUACCUUGACUGUACUGAAUCACCAUGUACAUUCUAGAGCCAAUGUGACCCCUUCUCUGGACCGAAGAUCAAGGCCCACAUUCAGAUGGAAUUGUACUCGGCAGUGUCCCUUCUCCUUUGAUUUGCGUGACUCCAGGCGAAGAGUUGCUCGUGAGCAAGAGCUGGAGUAUCUGAGGCUGAUGGCUGAAAGUCGCCUGGCGGUGGUUGGUUUUUCUGCUGUCAGUCACUUGCAUGUUUUUCACGUGUCUUGCUUUCCUGUUGCUGUGGCUUUUUGGUUGUAGGGGGUUGGGGUAUCUUAAAAUCCUCCCCUGAACCCAUUGCCUUGCCAUGAGGACUAAUUUGGCCUUGUCUUGUUGCUGUUUUAAAGGAUUUCACUUUUAGAGCCAACCCGGUGAGGAGGUACAAACCACUGAUACUGGAGCAGAGCACGCGUCCACUCACAAUCCCCAAAUCGCCCUUCUCCAGUCGGUACACAAGAAAGUAGAGGAAAAAAUAAUUUUUUUUUUUAAUUGAAGAGAUACUAUUUUUAUAAUCUGUAUAAUAAAACUUUCCAAGAGACUGUUGUUCAAGCAACAUCUUUUGAAUUAUUUUUAUUUUGUAUCUGAAAUAAGGAAACAGGAGGGAUGGCUGCUACUUGUAUUCAGUUUCACCCAAACUGAACUAAUGAGUGUUGGGGUAUCUUUAUUUUAUUUUUUUUUUUAAAUCAAUAUUUGCAUGUUUAUAAUGUCCAUGCUGUCUUAAAGGCAAAGCUGCAGCAUGGAUUUAGAUGGAAACUGAUCAUGUUCACUGACUGGACAGUGUAACUUAACUGGUUCAGUUUAAAGUUGAGCUGGUAGGCUGCUUCACACAACCAAUUUGUAAUAUGAAUUUCCUAGAUCUAUUUGUACACCAUGGUUAUUUGGAUUUGUAUUAAAAUCUGGUUCCAUUUCUUCAACAAUUAAAAUAAUGUUUAAUAUUUUGACUGUCCUUCAAAAAGCUGUUGCUGCACGGCUUUAGCUGCAAUUAAUAAAAUCUGUAGAAUGGUGCAUUUUAAAUUGGAAAUGUUGCUAACCCAGUUUUUGCAGAAAUAAAUAUUUGGCUUAAUAUUUUUAUUACUCUGUAACCAAAUCCUCUGCCUGCCUUCACUCUGAACAGAGGCUCUGAUAACCUCUAGGUGCACUGCUUUCCUUAGUCUAUUAUUGUUCAUGGCAAUUUCUCUCUUUUGUUGUGAAUGGUUGGUUUGACCUGUUCAUUUCCACUGGUUUAUGUACAGUGUUGAAGGAAAGUGUGUUGAUCUUGCUCAGUUAAAAGUGGAAAUUUUGAAGUACUCAAAUGAAAGAAGUACACUUGAGCACCACUCUAUAUUUUUCAGCUAGCUUUUUAAUUACAUUUAGUGUUUCAUGUGGAGACUCAUUAAGUCUUAUGGUAAACCUGUGGUUAGCUUUUUAUUAUUUUGUAACACCAUAUUAGAAUUUUGCAUCAGACAUUUUAAUAACUUCCUGUAUGUGAAGGUAAAAUUGACCAUGUAAGUGAAUCUUUUUUUUUUUUUUUUUUUUUUUUUUUUUUUUUAAAAAAAAGCUUUUAUAAUGAUCUGCAGUGUGGUAAGUAGGGCCAGGAGUAAACCAGAGGACCUUACCUGCUACAUCUAUACAAGACUAAAAGUGAAUGAGCAAAUGGUGGCACCGGAGCUCCUGGAAGGGCAUUUGUUUGAAUUCUUGCUAAUUUUCUGACUGAUGAUCAGACCAUUAAAAGAUUAUUUUGCCAUUUUGGACUUGGCCCAUUUAUUUUGCCCAUAUGUCUGUCUUGCUCUUGCAAAGUAUUUUCCAAAGCAUUCAAACACAUUACUGAGUACAGCAUAGCAGUGCUAUUAGUUUAAUGUGCAUAUAUUUUAUGUUCCACUUAUAAUUAAAAAAAAAGUACAUAUGAUAAUCAAAUCCAUGAUGCAUGCACACACAAAUGCACACAUACAAGAUAUAACAUUACAACGUGUCCUCGCAAUCAGUUUUAUCAUGGUAAUGAUGCA